GGGAGGACCUGGAGGGAUCUGGAAAGAAGCUCUCUCCUGUCUUCCCAUGAGCCAGCUGUGUGUAGCAUUGCUGGGUGUUACCAUGGCAAUGAUCCACACAGCAUUGCACGUUAGGACAGGAGUGGUUUUCCAGACACAUACUUACCACCACCUGACUACCAAGGCUGGUUGUGUCCCCUUCACCAAAGAUUAGAAGGGGAUCUAAAGAUUUUAU